CAUUCCAACCCCUUCCCCAAAUCCCCGCCCCGCCCCGCCCCCUCCAGCCCUCAUUCCAACCCCUUCCCCAAAUCCCCGCCCCGGCCCCGCCUCUGCCCCUGAGUGCACCACGUUCCCGCUCCUCCCCCUCCCUCCUGGAGCUGGCUACAGCUGUUUAGCAGCGGCCAGGGCUGGGAGGUAGGCGGAGGAGCGGGGACGCGGCGCACUGUGGGGGGGAGGAGGUGGAGGCGGUGGAGGAGGAGGUGAGGUGGGGCGGGGCGGAGAGCUUGGCUGGCAGAGCACCCACUAAUUUUUCCCUAUGGGUGCUCCAGCCCCGGAGCACCCAUGGAGUCGGCACCUAUGGGGGAGCAGAAGAUACUUAACUGCGUGCUGAGUUAUGGUGUGAAGCCUUGCUCACUAAUAAGGACUUUGAAACACACAGCAGUCAGCAGAGGUGAGACCAGAAUGGUCUCCAGGCCUGAGGGUAUUUGGAUGGGAUGUCCGCUGAGUGCUAAUGGACUUGGUGGAACAGACUGAUUCUAUUCAUAGGAGGCAUGUCCCACAGAAUCUGAGAUCUCUGAGAGCUCUGAAUAAACACACAAUACCUGCUGCCAAUUUUUAUGCUGAUAAAAUACCACAACGUGUUCAUGUCAUUAGUCAAGAUGUUCCUUCACUGUAAUUUAAAACUUUAUAUGCAAUUGCUUUAGGAACUGCAAGAAAAAUAUCUGUAGCAGUUAGUUCAAACGCCUUUCCCAAGACGUUGUUUGUAAAGGUGUAUGUUAUUUUGUAGAAAAAAUAUAUUUUUGUUAAUAACUAACAACUGCAAUGUUGCCAGUUGUGAUUUCAUUAUGAGAACAGUGAGACUGGAUGUUCUUCAUCAAGCACCAGCUCCUUAAGUCAUUUUAUUUUCUGAAAAUCACAUUCUUGUUUUUUUAAAGUAAGUUUCUCGCCCUAUGGUUGUAGAGAAAAGCUUGAACCCAGGGCCCCAAUGUACACUGCAGCUUCCAAAACCAGACGGCAAAUAGCAAGAACCCAGAUUUCUUUUUUUUUUUUAAAUCUCUUGAUUUUCAUCUGGUCCCCUGAUUCUCAGCACCUGAGUUCGGCACGGCUUCCGCUAGCAGUGCCCAGGGCUGCGGGGCACGUUCACCACAGCACAGGCUCCACACCACGCGCAGCAGCUUGGAGCCGGAGCAGUGCACAGGCCCUACCAUGGCAUCAAGGAGACUGACACGGCACAUCAUCGCUCUGUAUGGGCACCUCGGCAUGGGUAUAGCUAGAGUUAAGCACAAGAAAGCAGAAAAAUGACUACCAGUGAAGCAGCGAAUAAACUAGAGCUGGCUAGACUGGAAGCACAAGAGAAAGAAAACGAACAUAAGAGAAGGAUUGGAAUUAAGAGAACUAGAAAUAAAUGCACAGGAGGCUGCCCACAAGAGAACUAUGGAGGCAGAAGAAGCUGCCCACAAGAGAGUCCUGGAGUCACAAGGAAGAGAGAGGAAGCAUGAACUGGAGUUAGAGAUGGCAAGGGCUAAGCAAAAUAUACCAGACAACCCUAGCAAUCCUUCUCCAGGUACCGCUUCCCAUCCCAGAAAGUUCCCCACCUACAAGGCAGGCGAUGAUACUGAGGCCUUCUUAGAAAACUUCAAAAGGGCCUGCCUUGGGUCCAGCAUCUAUACAGACCAGUACAUGGUAGAGCUGAGGCCUCAGCUCAGUGGACCCUUAGCCGAGGUGGCGGCUGAAAUGCCGAAGGAACACAUGAAUGGUUAUGAACUUUUUAAAAAACAGGCCAGAAUCAGAAUGGGACGAACACCCAAGCCUGCCUGUCAGCAGUUCAGAGCCCUAAAGUGGAAACCAGAUGUGCAUCUUGCCAACACGCCUACUAUACUGUGAAACAUUGGGAUGCCUGGAUAUCAGGAGCAAGCAUUAAAUAUCUGGAAGAUCUUUCUUUCCUAAUGCAAAUGGAGCAGUUCUCAGAGGGUGUUCCUGAGGAAAUAGAAAGGUACAUCCUAGAUGGAAGCCCAAAACUGUAAUCGAGGCGGGAAAGAUUGGAGCCAAAUGGGUGGAGGUGGCAGAAAAGAAAAAAAACUGGUCGCAGUUGAACCAGAUAUCAGAAGGGGCAACCCGAAACAAAACCCUAUCACCGGGGGCCACCCAAGGCCCCACCUACAUCCCAAGGAAAACCCCAGACACCUUAUCGUCCCACCACACCGUUCUCCAGCAACCCACCUCGCCCCAGUGACCCGUCAGCUGGGCGAUGUUUUAAAUGUAAUGAGCUGGGGCAUUUGAAGCCCAACUGCCCCAAGAACCCCAACAGAUUACAGUUCAUUGCACUGGGGUCCCACCAAAGGUCCGCAGGCCCAGAUGUCUCCCAGGUACCCUCAGAGCAAAGGGAAACUGUGAGUGUGGGCGGGAAGAAGGUCACCACGUCGAGGGACACUGGAGCACAGGUGUCAGCUAUCCACCAGUCCUUAGUGGACCCCAAAUUCAUCAACCCAGAGGCCCAAGUGAUGAUUCAACCCUUCAUGUCAAACUCUUUAAACUUGCCUACAGUCGAGUUGCCUGUCCGGUACAAGGGCUGGUCAUGUAUGUGAACUUUUGCAGUCUAUGAUGAUUAUCCCAUCCCCAUGCUGCUGGGGGAAGACUUGGCCAACCAGGUAAAGCUGGCCAAGAGGGUGGGAAUGGUCACCCGCAGCCAGGCUAAGCCAGCUUCCACACCUAUCCCUGUUCCUAAUCCUUCCACCAGGGCCCCGUCUGUGUUACUAGAGACCCAGAUGGAGGUGGUGGAACUGGAUCCCCUGCCAACGGCUGCAACGGCCGUAGUAGAUCCAGUCCCAGAGACCCAGCCAGAGCCAGUCCCAAAACCGGAACUGGCGAAGCAAUCAGCACCAGAACCAUUGCCAGCACUGAGUCCAGCGCUUGCAACCCCGUCUUCAGCUCCAACACCAGAAGGCACCACCGAGCCUGCCCUGGCAACAGCAGCCGAUAACCCUACACAGGAGACUCAGCCGGAGCCUGAACCCCAACAUAGUGUCCCAGCGGCGAGCGGUUCAGAGUCAAUGGAAACAGCCCCAUCACCUGCAUCACUUCCCGAGGGACCAAGCCCAAGUCCACAAUCCAGUGAGGAACUGAUGUCUCCAGCAUCAAGGGAACAGUUGCAGGCCAAACAGGAAGCAGAUGAAAGCUUCCAGAGAGCUUGGAUGGCAGCAUGGAGCAACCCACCACCUCUCAGCUCUUCUAACCGAAAGAGGACUUUUAUACAAGGAAACUCUUUCUGGUGGGCACCAGGAAGACUGGCAUCCUCAGAGACAGUUGGUAGUUCCAACUAAGUACCAGAGAAUUAAAGGUUUGUCAGUUUACAGCCCAGGGAGGAGAUGACGCUGAGUGGCCUGAAGGUGUCUACUACGAAGGGAAAAGUGCUGGUGGCGUGGAAGAGAUGAACCUCUCCAUGACCCUUGGGUGUAUACAGCGACAGCAGAUCCAGGAGCUGUGCACUAGCUAUGCGCUGAUGUUCUCAGCCACCCCAGGACUGACUGAACGGGCAUACCACUCCAUUGACACAGGGAAUGCUCGCUCAAUUAAAGUCCAACCUUACCGGGUGUCUCCUCAAGCCAAAACUGCUCUAGAACGGGAGAUCCAGGACAUGCUACAGAUGGGUGUAAUCCGCCCCUCUGGCAGUGCAUGGGCAUCUCCAGUGGUUCUAGUUCCCAAACCAGAUGGGGAGCUACGUUUUUGCGUGGACUACCGCAAGCUAAAUGCUGUGACUCGCCCAGACAACUAUCCAAUGCCACGCACAGAUGAACUAUUGGAGAAACUGGGAUAGGCCCAGUUCAUCUCUACCUUGGACUUAACCAAGGGGUACUGGCAGGUACCGCUGGAUGAAUCUGCUAAGGAAAGGUCAGCCUUCAUCACACAUGUAGGGCUGUAUGAAUUUAAUGGAUUCCCUUUCGGGCUGUGAAAUGCACCCACCACCUUCUAGAAACUUAUAGAUAGGCAACUGCAGAUUCUUCCAAUCCUGCUAGGAGACUAUCUUGACGACGUGGCCAUAUUUUCUGACUCAUGGGCAGAAUACCUGGAGCAUCUCAGGAAGGUCUUCGAGUGUAUAAGAGAGGCAGGAUUAAUUGUUAAGGCUAAAAACUUGUCAAAUAAGCCUAAACAGAGUGACUUACCUUGGACACCAGGUGGGUCAAGAAACUAUCAACCCCCUACAGGCCAGAGCGAAUGCUAUCCAAAAGUGGCCCAUCCCAAAGUCAAAGAAACAGGUCCAAUCCUUCUUAGGCUUGGCCAGAUAUUACAGGCGAUUUGUACUGCAAUACAGCCAGAUCGCUGCCCCACUGACCAACCUAACCAGAAAGAAACAGCCAAAUGCAGUUCAGUGGACUGAAGAAUGUCAGAAGGCCUUUAACCAGCUUAAAGCGACAUUUAUGUCUGACCCUGUGCUCAGGCCCCCAGACUUUGACAAACCGUUCCUAGUAACCACAGAUGCAUCCGAGCGUGGUGUGGGAGCAGUUUUAAUGCAGGAAGGACCGGAUCAAGAGUUCCAUCCUGCCGUGUUUCUCAGCAAAACGCUGUCUGAGAAGGAAAGCCACUGGUCAAUCAGCGAAAAGGAAUGCUACACCAUCGUCUACGCGCUGGAAAAACUACGCCCAUACGUUUGGGGACGGCGUUUCCACCUGCAAACAGACCAUGCUGCGCUGAAGUGGCUUCACACCGUCAAGGACAAUAACAAAAAACUUCUUUGGUGGAGUUUAGCUCGCCAAGAUUUUGAUUUCGACAUACAACACAUCUCAGGAGCUUCUAACAAGGUGGCUGAUGCACUCUCCCGUGAAAGUUUCCCAGAAUCCACUGGUUAAAAUUGUCCUUGAAACGUGGAAAUUAUUGUUAGUUUUUAUGUAAUCAGUAGUCUAUCCAGAGGUGCAUGCAUCUUAUUAACUCUGUUUUCUCCUAGAGCUCCAGGAAGAAAUCACAGACAGUGUGACACAGGCUGUCCAGCACCAUCUGUGAUUUGGGGGGUCUGUCAUAACCAUACAGCUAAGGGUAGCCUAGAAUUCCUCCUUGCUCGUAAGGGGUUAAGAAGCUCAGAUAACCUGGUUGACACCUGACCAAAAGGACCAAUGGGGAAAAAAGAUACUUUCAAAUCUGGGGGGGAGGGGGAAGACAUUGUUUGUGCUCUUUGGUUGUGUGUUCUCUGGGGAAGCAGAGAAGCAUCAGGUCAGAAAACUUCUCCUAAAAUCAUACUAAAAUGAGUCUCAAUAGUGCAAAAAAGAGUAAGUAAAUAAGGCAAGAUGCGUUAGAUUAUCUUUUGGUUUUAGCUUGUGAAUUUUCCCUGUGCUAAGUGGGAGGUUUAUCCCUGUUUUUUGUAACUUUAAAUUUUUGCCUAGAGGGGAAUCCUCUGUGUUUCGAAUCUGAUUACCCUGUAAAGUUACCUUCCAUCCUGAUUUUACAGAAGUGCUUCUUUUACUUUUUUUCCCUUUAUAAUAAAGUUCUGUUUUUUAAG